rnacentral:pre_miRNA from 1 species
AUCCCCUAGGGAUCUGGUUAAAAUGCAGAUUCUGACUCAGUGGGUCUGGGUGAGGCCUGGGACUCUGCAUUUCUAACAAGCUCCCAGGGAAUGCUGG